AUGGGGCCCAAACUAUUGGAAAAACUUGGAACAAAUCCGUCCAACGCAAUAGCAUAUACGCAGGUAAUGCAGCCGACGACGUGGAUCAAAUUGGCCUUGCUUCCUCAGCUAAAAAAGAGGUCGUGCUUCCUCAUCUUUUCCCUUCCCCUUGCCUCCCCUUCUUUUCGCUUCCACGUCCAGCAGGUUAUACAUGCCUUCAAAGGCAAGCCAUCAAGGGGAUCACUUGUGGAUUUGGAUUACAACGGGCCGGAAGAAGGAAGUAGCCAGCAAAACCAGAGUUCUGCAGGCGACGAGGGUACGUGGCCAAUUUCCGUUGGGUCGUGCACGUGGUCCAGCUGGCACAAUGGACGGCUGCUGCUGCGUCCAGCUGGCACCGACCCCACCUUCCGCGCCCUUCACGCUAGGGCCAGGCAUGUCGUCACCGCCGCCGGCGCAGAGGCCCUGCUCGUUUCCGAGAUCCGCGACCCUGGUAAAAGCCUCGAGGUGAGAGUAUACAACAUCAAUUCGCCUAAGCCCAUGUGCCGCGUCGUCGGCCUGGCCGGCGGAUACCAACCAGCCAAUGCAUGCAACGGCUUCCUCCUCCUCGCGUCCGGCGUCAAAAAUUCGCCUGUGCUCCUGUCCAACCCCGUCGCCGGUGAAAAGCUGGAGGUCCAACCGCCACCAAAGAUCAAUUUCAUUGACGACUACUGGCACAUGUAUUUCAUGGGGUUCAGCCCGGCCGCCCACGAGUACAAGCUGUUCCGGUUUUCCUUCCCGUUUGGGUCCGAGGAGGACAACAAUCACCUAGACGUGUACACCUUAGAAGAUGGCCGUGGGUUGCGCCGGCACCCGAUCCUGUUCCCCUAUGCCGCGGUCAACGGCCUCCACACACCGCCGCCGCUGUUCAUGGACGGCAAGCUGUACUUGGUGGUGCAACGCCAUCGGUCGCCCAACAUGAUACUAGUGAUUGACGUUGCAAGCGAGGCACACUGCACAUACCGCCUCCCCCUAUCAGCAUACGACUAG
rnacentral:rRNA from 1 species